rnacentral:lncRNA from 1 species
CUGGAUUGAGAACCUCUCUUCCCAUUUGGGGCACUUUCCUCUGAUUGAUCCCCACCCUUCACCUAUUUUACAUAUACCUACUCUUCCCUAAUUGUUUUUUUGCAUGGUCUUGCCCAUCUUUGAGUGGUGCCUUUUUUUAAAUCCUUUUUUGCAUACUCACAACCCAAUCAGCAUGCACUCUCCCAUUCUGAGCCACACUGGCAAACUACCUGCCUCCUGGUGGGGGACCACCCGCCUUGAGUCAGCUCUCCACUGAGAGCUUGUUCCAUGGCUCAGUAAAACUCUUCUCCUCCCUUCUCAUCCUCUGGUUGUCUGCGUAACCUCAUUCUUCUUGGAUGCAGGACAAAAACUCGAGACCUGCCAAACAGCAGUGACAAAGGAGCUACUGUAACACUGUAACUCUCCACCCUCCGCUGGUGUCCAGCAGCCCCAUGCAACGGGAAGCAGUGGCAGGGCCAGGCCAGCCCCAGUGCCGCAAGCCAGAGUGGGGCAGCAGGACUGAAAGAGCUAUAGCACAAAUAGGCUGAAAUACUGCCUUGCUCCCCAUUCACCGUGCUGUGAGCAGCAGGAAGGAAAGAAGAGCUACAACCCUUCUGGGGGCCUAGACUUUGGGGCUCCCUGAGCCAAAACUGCAGCAUGCUGUAACACCCACUUUGGGGCUUCAGGGUUGCUGGCAUCUCCAAGAUUUUUGGCCACCACCACAUUCCCCUCAUCCAGACGCCGGCACCCAAAGCAGAAGCAGGUUGCGGCAUGACCCGUCCAGCUGCAGGCUGAGAACGGAACCCAUGAUGAAGAACCUUAGGCAGAGAGGAGUUCAGGAACUUACCCAUGUCCUGUGUCCAUGAUCCUGGUCCACUGAGGCACACUGCGUCGGACCUAGAAGUACCUGCCUGCCUACCCUGGAUAAACUGAUAGAAGGAGUUUUCCUUAUUGAGACAGGGGACCCUGCAGAAAAUCCGGGACAAAAAACAGAAGCAAAACACAUAUCGCAGAGUGUCCCCAAGGUGCUGAUGUUGCCAUCAAGAGCCGGAUGAAAUGGAAUUGCCCAGAAAGCACCUGCAGGUGCAUUGCCCAAGCAAUAGUCACAACCCUAAGUAAUAACCACCCAGAAGUUGGCAGUGGAGGCCAAUGAGGCACCUAGCAACCCAGCAGCAAAGAAACAUUAUCCAGAAGCCAGGAGAUCUACUGGGGACCCCGGCUUCCGCACAAAGCCAUAAGGUCAAAUAAGCUAUACCCUUUCCAAAUUCUACACAAUCUUAGAGAAACAACAAAAGAUAAGCUGUUUGAGGGACUGAGCACUUUUGGCUAACAGAAAUUGAACCCCACUAAAAGGGAAUAAACUUAGGUUGAAUUAGAGAUGUAAUUGUCUCCUAGUAUCCCCUAAGGGAAAGGGCUCAAGAGAAAGUUCCAAUCACAGAGGAAAAAACUCCUUUUCAUUGUACCUCUGAGUUGUGAGACGAGUUGAGUUUUUCUGUCACUACAAGCACAUUGGGAGAAAACUAGAGAAUGAAUUAAGGAACCUGUGAAUCUCAUGCUUCAUGAUUCCUUUUUUCCAACUCCUUCCCUCCAAGCCCCUUUGAGAGCAGAACUUGCAGUGCCUCAUGUCUGCUGGCCUUGGAGCAGUGUCAGUCAACGCUUCCCAGCCCAUUAACCAAACUUGAGGACAAGGGAAGUUAAGUGCCGCAGCCCACAGGGGAGCAUGUAAGUGGAUUCAGAUUCCCCAGGGAGCAUAACACCUUAAGGACUGUGCUUGCAAUGGCUGGGGAGACAAUGAGACAGGCGGGCAGUGAUUCUUCCAGAGACUAAUGAGGUUUUUCCUGGCGGAAGCACGUCUCUGCCUACACCGCACUAAUGCAGCAUUAAUGGAGAAAGGAGAGGAAAUGCGAGCAUUUUCUUCUGUGGAGGACAGAUCUUGUGUUAUGUCUUUUUGUUUCCUUGUUUUAUUGUAAGGUUUUUAACCUUUUUUAUAAGUUAAACAAAUUUUAGUAUUACAUGUUAUAUAUACCUGUAUAUUUGAAAGAGAAAUGUAAUAACAGCUUUAAUGUUUAUACCUAUAAAAUAAAUGAAAACAUUUCGAAAAACCCAAUGAAUUCCUUAACAGUUUUAAAAGUAAGAGGCUUUUGUAAAGUUUCC